GGAGAUACAAGGUAUCAGAAAUGAAACAGUACUUGAGGAAAAUGACUUAUACGAGGGUUCGGUAGACAUCACACCCAGUCGGCAACUUACGGAGAUUGAUCACGCCGUCACAGAUGUCUACGCUGAAGUUCGGAAACCAAAGAAAGCUACGACGGCCCAGGCAGAUAAAGCUGAAUAUGUCAACAUGAAAGAGCUGUAGGCAAAAGGCCGGCAGGCUAAUAUAGAAAACAUGUCAUUACCGACUGGUCAAAAUACCCGUCAUUGUUCUAUGGAUCCUGAUGAGUACAGCUUGACGACAUGGUUAACAUUUUUGGAUUGAAAGCCAAGAUAGCAAGAAUUUGUAUUUCGCAUCUCUCUCUCUCUCUCACUACAUGAACAACACUUGGAAUACCAUCCACGCAGCUUCUGGGUUCCAUUAAAGUCCUUUUCACAGUUCAUUCUAAACUAUCACAUUUAGCUUUACCAAGCCGCAUUAGCACUUUAAAUAAUUAUACUCUACCAGUUGGGCCUCUUAUUGCGUAUCUGGUACAAUCGUUUUACCCACGAAGAUGUCCAAUAGCAUCACAUGCCUCAGUAAUGCUUUCAAACGUUUUAUGCAAGAUAUAUGUGGGACAUUAACACAAAGACACCUCUGGGACCAAAGGGGACAAUGUGGCUGAUGUUGUUUCGUUGUCCUGUGUUUCUUCGUAUUACUUUUGUUUGUAUAACAGGAUACAGUCACCGUUUCGUGUGAUCAUCUCUUCUUGACAAAGAUUCCUACAAGGACAUUUAAGAUGCUUAUAUUCAAGUAGGCAUAUCUGACCCUCAGGCAGAUACAUGGCACCAUGCAUGUAAAACACUAUUACUGAAGGACAAGGGUUUGUAGUGUGAUACCACUGACCCGUAUGAUAGAGGACACUAUGUGGACAACUGCAAAAUGGUCAUGCUUCAUUAUUCUGGUGAAUGUGCCUCAGAAAGUUGAUACUACCAUUUCCACAAUAAUGAUCUUAACACGAUAUGAGAAUACGAUGUAUAUCUGCGAUACCAGACGUUCCGUUCUGUUGAUACAUCUUUAUCCAGCUGCUCUAAUUAAAACUUGUUGAUCAAGGUGUUGUUUAUUUCGCUGAUGGCAGAUACUUUUUACACUUUGUGUUAUAUACUACUUUGACAAUUAAACCUGUUCGCAACAGGUGACGA